CGAGGUGGUGCAGUGGUUGUCGUCAGCUCGUGUCGUGAGAUUGGUUGGGUUAAGUCCGCAACGAGCGCAACCUCGACCUUAGUUGCCAGCAUUCAGUUGGGCACUCUAAGGUGACUGCCGGCUAAAAGUCGGAGAAGGUGGGGAUGACGUCAAAUCAUCAUGCCCCUUAUGACCUGGGCUACACACGUGCUACAAUGGGCGGUACAAAGGGUCGCGAACCCGCGAGGGGGAGCCAAUCCCAAAAAGCCGCUCUCAGUUCGGAUUGCAGGCUGCAAUUCGCCUGCAUGAAGUCGGAAUCGCUAGUAAUCGCAGGUCAGCAUACUGCGGUGAAUACGUUCCCGGGCCUU
rnacentral:rRNA from 1 species